rnacentral:rRNA from 1 species
UUGGCGGCCGCGGGAAAUUCGAUUGAGUUUGAUCCUGGCUCAAAUUGAACGCUGGCGGCAGGCUUAACACAUGCAAGUCGAGCGGUAACAGAGAUAGCUUGCUAUCUGCUGACAAGCGGCGGACGGGUGAGUAAUGCUUGGGAAUAUGCCAUAUGGUGGGGGACAACAGUUGGAAACGACUGCUAAUACCGCAUAACGUCUACGGACCAAAGAGGGGGAUUCUUCGGAACCUCUUGCCAUUUGAUUAGCCCAAGUGAGAUUAGCUAGUUGGUGAGGUAAUGGCUCACCAAGGCGACGAUCUCUAGCUGGUUUGAGAGGAUGAUCAGCCACACUGGGACUGAGACACGGCCCAAACUCCUACGGGAGGCAGCAGUGGGGAAUAUUGCACAAUGGGCGAAAGCCUGAUCCAGCCAUGCCGCGUGCAGGAAGACUGCCCUAUGGGUUGUAAACUGCUUUUAUACAGGAAGAAUAACCCUUACGUGUAAGGUGAUGACGGUACUGUAAAAUUAAGGACCGGCUAACUCCGUGCCAGCAGCCGCGGUAAUACGGAGGGUCCAAGCGUUAUCCGGAAUUAUUGGGAR